CCGUGGUGCUGCCCAACGCCUCAGGAUGGGGAGGUGCCCGAAGAGCCCAUGCUGGCAGCGUGGCUGUGGGCGGGGGCUCUGGGGGCAGUGUCUUCCUUCCCGCCCUUCCCUGCAUUCCCCACGUGACAAGGUUUAACAACUAAAAGAUGGGAAAAAACACGUGAGGUUGACUGUGGUCAAGACGCUGGACGCCAGGCAGCAAAGAGCAGGGAACGCAGAGGAGAUGGGCACCCACGAGAUUUGAAGGACAUUUGGCCUAAGAAGACACACAGACGCAGCUGAGCACGCGCACGUGAGAGGUAAAGUGGCAGGUAUUGCCCCUUGGAUCCAUCAUACGAGGGUGAAGAGAACAUACCACACAGACCCAGAAAAUGCUGAGUGGACUGCACAGAGGGACCCCGCUGACCCUCGAGAGACGAAGACCAUCCUUAAAAGAUCCUGGAUGAGCCCCUUCAGGAUGAAGCCGCACAAUCAACUCCUGCUGCUUGGCCUCAUCAACGUGAUUUUGAAUUUAACUUCCGUUUCAACUCAGGACAAUGUGUUCAUCUCGUGGGCCCCUUCCUACGCAGACUUCCCCAGCACUUCCAGCUGCUGGUAUGUGGGGCUGUGCCUCUGUGAGGGAUGGAGGGACAUCCUUGGUGGGUGUCACCGCUCUGCCAAGGAGAUUUUAGACCACUCUGCUCCUUUCCGGGAUGGCAAAAAGAGACUUUCCUCUCGCUUGCCAAUCAUAACCUCUCCUUGCUCGCUUGGUGUAAGACCUGCAGUCAAUAGCCUUGGGUCCUGGGGUUACACUUGAUAUAAAUGCCGGUGUAACAAAAGCCUCACCUACAACAAGCCCCGGUAAACCUACCUCAGUUACAUGCCCGGUGGACAAGAUCGUGUUUCGAUGGUAUGAGUAUAUUCUGCCUCAUUCAUACCCUGCAUAGGGAAACAGGUGUCAUGGUUAAAGCAGAGGCCUUGACUAAUUUCACACGACAGCCCCUCCUGGAUAGAAGAAAGCCACCCAAGCCUUAAGUGAAGAGCAGAUCCAGAUGAGAAAAGCGGGACUUCACGACAGAACCGCUUUGGACACACUCACAGCUGCUCAGGGAGGGACCUGUACCAAAAUCAAGGUUGAAGGUUGCGCAUACGUCCCUGACUUACCUGGCGAUGUAGCGACUGCUCUAGGCGACAGGAAAACCAGGUAAGAGCAGUGUCAAAUGGAAACCUCCCUCUCUGGGCUGUGGUCCUCUCCUGGGUGAAGGGCGAUGGGUGGGAAACUAUAUUAACCACUGUUACAGUUGCCUUGAUAGUUCUGCUUUGUGGACCCUGAAUUUUACAGUGUAUUAUGAACUUUGUAACCCGAAGGUUGAUGUCAUUCUCCCGAAUUGGCGGUCGGAGAGCCAGGGUGCAAUACAUCCCUAUGAAUGAUGCUCAUAUUAUGAGUUAAGAGCAUCAAGAGGGGGGAAUGAAGAAGGAAUUCAUAGGGCCUGACUCCAUCUCAGGCCUGUUCAUGCUGACCGCGCUCGGCCACCUUUCCGAUGGACGCUGAACUCUGUGCUUAGUGCCUGUGAACACAACAACAGAAGGGUAAGACCCCCUCCAGACAGGGGAGCCUUGUAGAUCCUAUCUAGGUUACUCAUCGCCUAAGAGAAAGCAUACACUAAUCACCCCUUCCUCCAGACAGGCCAUAAAUUUUUCUGUAUCUAUCGGAGUGACCUCGGGUUUAUUGAUUAUUGGCCAAUUGUUUGACUGUUUGAGCACAUGAGCACGCAGCACGUGAAUGAUGGGUUAUUGGGACUGUAUUUUCCUUGCAUUAUGUAAGUCUCAAGGAAUUUGGACUGGUGGGUUCAGACACGUACACAUGGGUAUAAAAGAUUUUCACAAAUGCUGGUCGGGGUCCUUGGCUAAGAGCAGACUGUGCCUCGGGCCCGCCGGUGUAAUAAACUGCUCUCCAC
ensembl:lncRNA